UGCUGUGAGUUCUGUACUCCUUUGGGUUUC
rnacentral:piRNA from 1 species